UUCUGGCUCAGGACGAACGCUGGCGGCGUGCCUAAUACAUGCAAGUCGAACGGCUUUUCUAUGGAAGCUUGCUUCCACUGAGAAGAUAGUGGCGAACGGGUGAGUAACACGUGGGUAACCUGCCCAUAAGAGGGGGGAUAACAUCCGGAAACGGGUGCUAAUACCGCAUAGUUUUCUUGAUCGCAUGAUUGAGAAAGGAAAGACGGCCUUUGUGCUGUCGCUUAUGGAUGGACCCGCGGCGUAUUAGUUAGUUGGUGAGGUAACGGCUCACCAAGACGAUGAUACGUAGCCGACCUGAGAGGGUGAUCGGCCACAUUGGGACUGAGACACGGCCCAAACUCCUACGGGAGGCAGCAGUAGGGAAUCUUCCGCAAUGGACGAAAGUCUGACGGAGCAACGCCGCGUGAGUGAAAGAAGGUUUUCGGAUCGUAAAACUCUGUUGUCAGAGAAGAACAAGUUGGAGAGUAACUGCUCCAGCCUUGACGGUAUCUGACCAGAAAGCCACGGCUAACUACGUGCCAGCCGCCGC
rnacentral:rRNA from 1 species